ACUCCUUCUUUUACCCCUUCUCUCUUCCUCCCUCUCUAUCUUCCUCCCUUACAUUACCCACACAAAACCAUUCCCCUUUGCAUGUUGUUGCAACUCGACCGACACGCCCAUUUCCUGCAGCAACCGACGAUGGUACAACAACCACUAGCGAACAAUGACGACAAUGCUUGUCCGGCAACGCAUGCAGUACAGACAACCAUCUUCACAUCCGACGCAGCCUAUAACCACGAACGACAUUCAUGAAGACCAACCCACGGCAUCGUGAUCUCCGACAACCGUGAAGUAGCUACCCACUCAACACAAUGCAUACCAACAGUAGCAUUUCUCCUAUUUGGUGUGUUUUGACUCUUACCCAUCGAAUUUUGACAAUGGAUUUGAAAUACCCACUUCUAACGCCUCUAAAUAUGUAGGAUUAAGUGAGUUCAAACACUAACCAACGAGGAUUUGGGCCGUUUUGGGUCAGAUCCAGUGGGUAUAUCACUCUAAAUCCCUUUUUGAAAUAGUUGAAGGUUCUUUAUAUUGGUCUCUAACGCUUGAAAGCUUUUAAUUGUAGAUUUAGAAUGGUUUCAAGGUUAUUUGAACAUCUUUCAGCAUGGACCCAAGCCUGUUUUGGUGAAUAUUAAGCAUUAUAGCUAUAUUUAGAGCCUUUGGAACCAAAUUUAGAUGAUGAAAUUAGCUUUUAACUCUUCGUUUUUCCUUGUUUGUAGUUUAGGCUUGAUUUGGGGUGUCCGGAUUGAGGUAUAUUAGAUGCUCUUUUUUUUGUAAAUUUACCAAAAGGUUUGAAUUUUAAGCUCACGGGUUUAAUGUUAUAAGAAAGCAAUAAGAGAAAUGUGUGGUAUUCUAAAAACUGCUAAGUAGGUAAGAAUCUUGCUUGGAUUCAUAAAGUUUAUUUAUUUUCAUUAAGUUGUUUGAGUUUAUAAGCUUAUGGAUUCAUGGUAUGUCAUCCAACUUUGUCUUCUUCCACUGAUUUAUAUCAUAAGCAACAAUUUUGUUUCUUUGUUCAUUUAUUUUUCAAAUGCUUUGCUCUUCUUAGCUUCUCCUAUUUGCUUUUGGUCUUGUUCUCCACCUUUAUUUCCAUGUGUGACGUUUGUUGUACCUCUUUUAUGAUAAAAUGAAAUGGGAAUGAUUUAUGAUUAAAUAGUACAAUGAGAGCAUGAGUUCGGCGGUCCAUUUCUUCAAAAUUCUUGCUUUUUUGUUUGCGUGAUGCUUGGAGUUAAAGAAACCAUUUGCUUUCAUAAAAUGAAAUAGGAAUGAUCUAAGCCACCAUCGAACAUGUUGUAUUGGGCUUUUUUAUACUGGAAUUUAUUAAAGAAGAUGUUCCAAUUAUGAAAUUAUUAGAUAGUGAGUUGUUAUGUUCGAUGGUAGCUUGAUUUUGAUUCUUUGUUUUGUUUUUCAUUUCUUUUUAGCUACAUUGGUGGUUGUCUUGAGUCUUGUUCUUGUCAUAUGUGCUUUAGUAACCAUGAGGAUGUAAAUAUUGUUAUUAUAGACUUUUCUAUAAUAAUAAUUGAAUAUAAUAAUAGUUUUUCUAUCUAUUUUUCCUUUAUGUCCAAGAAAACACUCCAUAUUUCAUCUAUUGUUCUUGUAGGUUCUUGAAUAUAUGUAUUGAAUAAUCAAAUGGAAGAGUUUUGUAGGGGAAUGAGAAUAAUCAAAAUGCUCGACAUUGUAAGCCUCUAUUUUGUUUGUUUGUUUGUUGAGAGGGAGUGGCAAUAUAAGAAUUUAAGAGAAUUGUGCCUGUUUCAAGAAAACUCUUGCUUCCUUAGUUAUACUCCUACGAGUUUAGCUUUAGUUCAUAUUGAUUGAAAUUGCCUCACAUUUGUGUUCUCUCAAUCUCUUCCUCUACCAUAACAUGAUAUAUAUUGAAACUCUCCUUGUAGGUCGGUCUUGAAAUUCAAAAGAAGGUAGUUUGGUUAUCCAUUAUGUCGUCUCCCUCACCUCCAUGAUCUAUUUCAAGUUAUAACUUAUGGUUUGCCGAUGUUAGUUUAAUGAUUUUGUAUGUAUAUAUAAUUUUGGGGGAGGUUUCUUCAGACAUUCUUCACGUAGGGUAGUGUAGGGAUUUGUGGAGUCAUUUCGUAAUUUUUGAGAAAUAGAAGUGUUAUGCAAUUAUUUCUAUUAUUGUUUCAAAACAAUUUAUGAACUUGAAGAAGCAAUAAAAUUUAAUUUCAUAUUAGAGAAAAUCUCUUUUUCCAAAUACCAUAGGUUUUAAAGAACAUCACUCGGAGAAGAGCAAAUGUCAAGAACAUCUUUUUGAUGUUUAUGAGAAAUGCAAGAAGAGAGAGGUAUUUUCUUAACUUAGUUAUGUGUAAAUUGUGAUCUAUUGAUUGAUUAUUGGAUAUUUAGAUCUUGUUAUUGAUCCAUAGAACUACAUGUUAAAUUUGGAUGGAGAAGGAACUUAAGCUAUUCAAGUCUUGUUCUCUUUGUGGUAAUAGAAUUUUAGUUUGAAGUUCCGAUUUUCCCUUGGAUCAUCCUAUUGCAUUCUCCCUUCUUUCUUUCAUUCAUUUUUUUUUCUUUUUAGUUUGCUUUGAUCUUACUUGGAAUUUAGUUUAGGGAUAAAUCUUCUCAUUUCUUGUAGUUGUAGGCACUCUUGUUUAGUUGGUGUAUUUUUUUGGAAACAAGAAAUUGUUGAAAAAUGAUCAAGUUCAAACUUCUGUAAAAGCUAGUGGAAGAAGUCAUUCCAUUCUCCAAGGGAGGAUUCACCUUACCCAGUUUGAAGCAAGCAAAAUAAGAUUGUAUUGCAUUUAUUAGCCACAAGCAACUUGGUAUGAGUGAUUUCCUUCGUGGCAUACACUUGUGCAUGAUCUAUUUUCUCUUAAACUUGUUUAGUUAAUAUGAUUGAUCGAGUUGUCUAAGAAAUCUAAAAUGAAAAAAAGAACUCCUUUGCUGAAUUUAUUGUUUGGAUUCUUUAUAAGAUCUAAAUGAAGUUGCAUGUUUGUUUACAAAUUUUGAAGUCCUGGCUUUGUAUUUUGAAGUUAUUCUUUUUCGACUCUUGCAAAUCGUGAUAUUUAUCAUAUUUUUCUCAAUUGUGUUGUUGAUUGUUGUCAUACUUAAAAAUUUCGUUGGGUCCUGGUGAAGGUGUGAAAUAAGGAUUUAUUUAAUUUGUUUCAAAGUCCAUUGCUAUACAUUAUAUCUAUAGAAGUUGUGACCAACAUAAAACUUCUUUCCUUUCCUUUCCUUUGUUUUGUACUUCUAUUUGGAAUUUUCUUAAUACUUCUCUUAGGUGAAGUGAUUGGAAACUGGAGAGAAUUUUGCCAUAAAGAAAGUCUCGCAGGACAGGCAUUAAGAUAACUUGAAAUUUUCUUAUAAAAAUCUUGCAGGACAUUUUUUUUUACUCUUUUCCAUCUUCAUUCAGACACUAAAUUGAUUGGGUAUUUUUGUUGUCGACAGGUAUUUUCUCUUUUUUUUUUUUCUUCUUUUUUUUGUGCUUGAGAUCUUGUAUCCUUGGUAUAUUACGUGAAAGACAUAAUAGAGUUGGAAACAAAUCAAUGAGAUGUGAAUGCAAUUACCAAUAUCAAGUCAAACUUAUGGGAUAAAGAGGGAUUGGCAAGGAAAUCCAUAUGUGCCAGUGGAAUACACUAGGAGUGGAUUGAAUUGUAGCAAUGCAAUUACUUCAAGAAUCAUUUACUUGUAGGAGAAUAGUCCCUAGCUCUAGAAAUUGACAUCAGAGAACUUGGGAAGACAUUGUUGAACACUAUUAAUUUAUCUUUAGCUUAUUUUUAAUCAUUUUAACCAUUUUGUAAUUCAUUUAUUUUGAAUGCUAUUCUUGUGUACAACUUAGCAUAUAUACUCUACUUGUUCAGUGUAGAAUAUAUAUGUAUACUUCAUAGAUGAUAAGUUGGAAUUUGCUAUGUAACCAUAUGAAGUUGAUUUGGAUAAAGAAUAUAACAA